UGUUGAUCUUGGGCCAUAGGCGGCGGUAAUACGGACGGUGCGAGCUGUAAUCGAGUGUACUGGGCGUAAAGGUGGCGUAGGUUGCUAAUUAAGUCAAAUGUGAAAUCCCCGAGCUUAACUUGGGAAUUGCAUUCGAUACUGGUUGGCUAGAGUAUGGGAGAGGAUGGUAGAAUUCCAGGUGUAGCGGUGAAAUGCGUAGAGAUCUGGAGGAAUACCGAUGGCGAAGGCAGCCAUCUGGCCUAAUACUGACACUGAGGUGCGAAAGCAUGGGGAGCAAACAGGAUUAGAUACCCUAGUAGUC
rnacentral:rRNA from 1 species